UGGGGAAUUUUGGACAAUGGGCGAAAGCCUGAUCCAGCAAUGCCGCGUGUGUGAAGAAGGCCUUCGGGUUGUAAAGCACUUUUGUCCGGAAAGAAAUCCUUGGCUCUAAUACAGUCGGGGGAUGACGGUACCGGAAGAAUAAGCACCGGCUAACUACGUGCCAGCAGCCGCGGUAAUACGUAGGGUGCAAGCGUUAAUCGGAAUUACUGGGCGUAAAGCGUGCGCAGGCGGUUUGCUAAGACCGAUGUGAAAUCCCCGGGCUCAACCUGGGAACUGCAUUGGUGACUGGCAGGCUAGAGUAUGGCAGAGGGGGGUAGAAUUCCACGUGUAGCAGUGAAAUGCGUAGAGAUGUGGAGGAAUACCGAUGGCGAAGGCAGCCCCCUGGGCCAAUACUGACGCUCAUGCACGAAAGCGUGGGGAGCAAACAGGAUUAGAUACCCUGGUAGUCCACGCCCUAAACGAUGUCAACUAGUUGUUGGGGAUUCAUUCCUUAGUAACGUAGCUAACGCGUGAAGUUGACCGCCUGGGGAGUACGGUCGCAAGAUUAAAACUUAAAGGAAUUGACGGGGUCAUAGCUG
rnacentral:rRNA from 1 species